rnacentral:misc_RNA from 1 species
AAGUCGUAACAAGGUUUCCGUAGGUGAACCUGCGGAAGGAUCAUUAUUGAAUAAACCUGGCUUGGUUGAUGCUGGUCUUUUCGGAGACAUGUGCACGCCUUGUCAUCUUUAUAUCUCCACCUGUGCACUUUUUGUAGACCUGGAUUCAACUUUCCGAGGAAACUCGGUUGUGAGGAAUUGCUUAAUAGGCUUUCCUUGUUAGUUUCCAGGGCUAUGUUUUCAUAUACACCUUAUGAAUGUAACAGAAUGUCAUUAUUAGGCUUAAUUGCCUUAUAAACUAUAUACAACUUUCAGCAACGGAUCUCUUGGCUCUC